rnacentral:rRNA from 1 species
AUUGAACGCUGGCGGCAGGCCUAACACAUGCAAGUCGAGCGGAGCGGCGGACGGGUGAGUAAUGCCUAGGAAUCUGCCUGGUAGUGGGGGAUAACGUCCGGAACAGGGCGCUAAUACCGCAUACUAUCAGAUGAGCCUAGGUCGGAUUAGCUUGUUGGUGGGGUAAAGGCCUACCAAGGCCACGAUCCGUAACUGGUCUGAGAGGAUGACCAGCCACAAUGGAACAGAGACACGGUCCAGACUCCUACGUGAGGCAGCAGUGGGGAAGUUUGGACAAUGGGUGGAAGCCUGAUGCAGACAUGCCGCGUGUAUGAAGAAGGCCUUCGGGUUGUAAAGUACUUUCAGCGGGGAGGCGUUACCUGCAGAAUAAUCACCGGCUAACUCCGUGCCAGCAGCCGCGUUAAUAC